rnacentral:rRNA from 1 species
GUAGUCAUAUGCUUGUCUCAAAGAUUAAGCCAUGCAUGUCUAAGUAUAAGCAAUGUGUACAGUGAAACUGCGAAUGGCUCAUUAAAUCAGUUAUCGUUUAUUUGAUAGUACCUUACUACUUGGAUAACCGCGAUAAUUCUAGAGCUAAUACAUGCUAAAAAUCCCAACCUCCGGGAGGGAUGUAUUUAUUAGAUAAAAAACCAAUGCCCUCGGGCUCUUUGGUGAUUCAUGAUAACUUAACGAAUCGCAUGGCCUUGUGCCGGCGUUGGUUCAUUCAAAUUUCUGCCCUAUCAACUUUCGAUGGUAGGAUAGUGGCCUACCAUGGUUUCAACGGGUAACGGGGAAU